CGUUUUUUGAGUUAAAUAAAAAAUAUGGCCUGCCCAAUGAGAACUUGAAUGGCCGCAGUAUUUUGACUGUGCGAAGGUAGCAUAAUCAUUUGUCUAUUAAUUGUGGACUAGUAUGAAUGGCCGGAUGGGGGAAAGCUGUUUUUAAGUUAAAGGUGAAUUUUAGGUCUUUGUGAAGACGCUGAGAUGAGUAUAAAAGACGAGAAGACCCUAUUAAGCUUUACAUUUUAUUUGUUUUUAGGCUUGUUAUAAUGAUGGUGUUUUAUUGGGGCGAUAGUAUUAUAGAGAAACUUUUAUUGACAUGUAAUGAUUGUAAUUAGAGCGAUUUUAUGAUCCAAAAUUUUUGAUUGGGAGAACAAGUUACUAUAGGGAUAACAGCGUAAUUUCACUGGAGAGUUCUUAUUGAUAGUGGAGAUUGCGACCUCGAUGUUGAAUUAGGAUACCUUUAAGUUGUAGUCGGUUUUUAAGGUAGUCUGUUCGACUAUUAAAAUCCUACA
rnacentral:rRNA from 1 species